UGGCGCCUACGGGACGCAGCAGUGGGGAAUAUUGCACAAUGGGGGAAACCCUGAUGCAGCGACGCCGCGUGAGAGAAGAAGUAUCUCGGUACGUAAAGCUCUAUCAGCAGGGAAGAAAAUGACGGUACCUGACUAAGAAGCCCCGGCUAACUACGUGCCAGCAGACGCGGUAAUACGUAGGGGGCAAGCGUUAUCCGGAUUUACUGGGUGUAAAGGGAGCGUAGACGGCAGCGCAAGUCUGGAGUGAAAUGCCGGGGACCAACACGGGAACUGCUU
rnacentral:rRNA from 1 species